UAGGGAAUCUUCGGCAAUGGACGGAAGUCUGACCGAGCAACGCCGCGUGAGUGAAGAAGGUUUUCGGAUCGUAAAGCUCUGUUGUUAGAGAAGAACGUUGGUAGGAGUGGAAAAUCUACCAAGUGACGGUAACUAACCAGAAAGGGACGGCUAACUACGUGCCAGCAGCCGCGGUAAUACGUAGGUCCCGAGCGUUGUCCGGAUUUAUUGGGCGUAAAGCGAGCGCAGGCGGUUCUUUAAGUCUGAAGUUAAAGGCAGUGGCUUAACCAUUGUACGCUUUGGAAACGGGAGGACUUGAGUGCAGAAGGGGAGAGUGGAAUUCCAUGUGUAGCGGUGAAAUGCGUAGAUAUAUGGAGGAACACCGGUGGCGAAAGCGGCUCUAUGGUCUGUAACUGACGCUGAGGCUCGAAAGCGUGGGGAGCAAACAGG
rnacentral:rRNA from 1 species